UACGUAGGGGGCAAGCGUUAUCCGGAAUUACUGGGUGUAAAGGGUGAGUAGGCGGCAUGGUAAGCCAGAUGUGAAAGCCUUGGGCUUAACCCGAGGAUUGCAUUUGGAACUAUCAAGCUAGAGUACAGGAGAGGAAAGCGGAAUUCCUAGUGUAGCGGUGAAAUGCGUAGAUAUUAGGAAGAACACCAGUGGCGAAGGCGGCUUUCUGGACUGAAACUGACGCUGAGGCGCGAAAGCGUGGGGAGCGAACAGG
rnacentral:rRNA from 1 species